UGUGUGUCUGUGUGUUGAGUGUGAGUGUGUAUGUGUGUGUAGGGGUCGGGGUGGGGGGGUCCGUGUUCGCGAUCUGAACCUUUGGUACCUACAAGGAGGGUGUCUCACCGAACGGUAGCUAAGACCUCACCAGGACCGCGCGAAGUGAGGAGUCGCGUCCAAAGGCGCCCGCCGGAGCCUCGUCUCUGGGCCGGACCCCAACCCGAGCGGCCGAAAGGAACCCCCCGCCCGGAUCACAGAAAAGAGCAGAAAGGAUGGGGGGAGGGGGGAACGAGAUCGAAGUAGAAGGAAGGCGAGACCCGACGCAUUCCAGCCCCUCUUUCCUU
rnacentral:lncRNA from 1 species